rnacentral:sRNA from 1 species
CUUCUUACUACAUCCUCGCGACUAAUGAGAGGACUGAAACGGGUUAUUGAUACUCUAGCUGAUUAGCUGUUAGUCAAUAUUCAAUACUCUCAUUAGCCGCGCGAAUCGGUUGUAGCCGAAGAGGCUCAUACAAUAAUAAUGUUAUUUAACUUCUGUGCGGCUAAAUAAAGUUCACUGCUGAUUAUUUAU